rnacentral:lncRNA from 1 species
UUAGAACUCACCGGUUACAAAUCAGCAAUAUGAAAUUGGAUCUAGAAGCAAACAGUCACAUGAAUCUGGUUUUCUCUGACUUAUGGUAUUGAUUCUAUAUUAUUUUGCCCCUCAUCCUUCUCUUCUCUAAGUUCAGUUAGAGGCAAUUUGCAUUCAAUAGUCUCUAAAAUUGGAACUAGAAAUCCCUGACUUUCAACUAUCUCCUCAGAAGGCUUGAAAUUGACAUGCCCAUCAACUGUUGGAUUCUCG